GGNGCUCUCCCNUAUGGUCGACCUGCAGGCGGCCGCGAAUUCACUAGUGAUUAGAGUUUGAUCCUGGCUCAGGACGAACGCUGGCGGUAUGCUUAACACAUGCAAGUCGAACGAGAAGAUCAGUUAAGAACCUUCGGGGGAAUAAGUGAUUGGAAAGAGGCGAACGGGUGAGUAACGCGUGGGUAACCUGCCCUAUGGAAAGGAAUAGCCUCGGGAAACUGGGAGUAAAGCCUUAUAUUAUGGAGAGAUCGCAUGGUCAUUUCAUGAAAACUCCGGUGCCAUAGGAUGGACCCGCGUCCCAUUAGCUAGUUGGUGAGAUAACAGCCCACCAAGGCGACGAUGGGUAACCGGUCUGAGAGGGCGAACGGUCACACUGGAACUGAGACACGGUCCAGACUCCUACGGGAGGCAGCAGUGGGGAAUAUUGCGCAAUGGGGGCAACCCUGACGCAGCAAUACCGCGUGAGUGAAGAAGGUUUUCGGAUCGUAAAGCUCUGUUAUUGGGGAAGAAAACAUGACGGUACCCAAUGAGGAAGUCCCGGCUAACUACGUGCCAGCAGCCGCGGUAAUACGUAGGGGACAAGCGUUGUCCGGAAUGACUGGGCGUAAAGGGCGCGUAGGCGGUCUGAUAAGUCAGAUGUGAAAGGUACCGGCUCAACCGGUGACGUGCAUUUGAAACUGUCAGACUUGAGUAUUGGAGAGGCAAGUGGAAUUCCUAGUGUAGCGGUGAAAUGCGUAGAUAUUAGGAGGAACACCAGUGGCGAAGGCGGCUUGCUGGACAAAUACUGACGCUGANGUGCGAAAGCGUGGGGAGCGAACAGGAUUAGAUACCCUGGUAGUCCACGCCGUAAACGAUGAAUGCUAGGUGUUGGGGGAAACUCANNGCCGCANUUAACACAAUAAGCAUUCCGCCNGGGGAGUACNACCGCAA
rnacentral:rRNA from 1 species